rnacentral:ribozyme from 2 species
ACUCGUGUGAGCGAGUAUAAACAGGCUUUAGGCUCACAGCGUCGCGGGGCUUAUCCCCGUGGGUAGCA